GCUCUGACGAGGUUGCACUACUGUGCUCUGAGAAGCAGUGCAAUGAUAUUGUCAAAGCAU
ensembl:miRNA